rnacentral:lncRNA from 10 species
AAAAAGAUCUGGAAAAGUAAUGGUUUGUAGGAUCCUAGGUCAGCCCUUCUGUGUAGUAGGUCAUAUCAUCAUCAUGUACAGGAAAUGGACAUCAGAUGGCACAGACUGUGGGUAAUAAGUAGCUGAGUAUGGCCUGUUUGUGCCCUUCUUGGAGAGUUUAUCCUAGUUUCUGAGCUGAUCCAUGAAAUGGGAAUUUUUGUGUAUAGGGAAGUGGCACAAGGAAAGAUGCAUAUAAAUGACAGUGUUACAUAUGUAUCUAAGUGGACCUGAUCAAAAUUUGCAAGAGGCUGUUUCCAAUUAGGUUUAAGAUAUUUGCAUGUGCCUCAAGUUCACUCGCUUUUUUUUAUUAAGAUCACACUAGCUGUAGAAACAGAUAAUGGCUUAACCCAAUUUAUUUCUUGUUUUCAUUACAUACAUAAUGGAUAUUAAUUAUCAGUGAGUUUCUCUCCUCUAACUGGUGACUCAGGGACCCAGCCUCCUUCCAUAUUAUGGUUCUGCCAUUUUCAACACAUGAUUUAAUGUAUGCUCAUCUAUAAGAAGCCAGUGGAGGGAAAAAGGCCAUGGAAGAUACUGAGUGGAAGAUUUGCAAUUGUCCUUGAAGUUGUCUACAUUACUUCUGUUCAUAUUCCAUUGGCCAAAUCUAACUGCAGGGGAGGCUGGGACAUGUAGUCUAGCUGUGUGCCCAGAAUGAAGAGCAAAUGGGUUUAGUUCUCAGGGAGCAUUCCCAGGCACACCUUAUAAAGUGACGUAUGGGGCAGUAACUUUGAGUUCUUCUGAAUUUAGAAAAUUGCUUUUGAGCACGGCACAAUGAAAACUGAAAAUGCCAUUGGUAGCCUGCAGUUUAUUCUGUAGGAGUCUUUUUAAUUAACAGCUUAAUUGGAUAAUUUAAUCCCCGUUAGAAUUGGAGAUAUGCAAAUGAAAAUGAGAUACUCCCUAUGAUCUGACAAUACUGUGCUUUAAUAAACACACCAAAGUGAGCCUGGAAAUGAGCACCACAAAAGCAUUACCAUGAUUUGUGAUCAGUGAAAGAAAACCUGAUCUAUAAUUUUAAUCAUUCCUAAAUGGUUUAGAUACAUGUUUCAUUUGAAUGUGUAUUUUGUUUUGUUAAUUGGUUCAAUUAGAAAGGUAACUGAACAUAAGAAUCUGUGGCAAAGCCAUGAAUUUAUAAUAUGUUCUAAGCUUUUAAAAUAUAUACCAUUGAGAAAGUAACUAAAAUACCCUACAAAAUACUGUUGAAAGUGCAGUAUUUUCCAGUAUUUUCAGAUAAUUUAUAUACAAUAGUUUUUACUUCUCCAUUGAUUAUGAGAUGAAAAAUACUACUUACCAUAUUCUUGUUAUAUGCUUUCUCCACUUGAAUGAGAAAUUGAGGCUCAGAGUCCAAGAAAUGAAGAUGAGUGUCCAUGUACAAGCCACAAAAGUGCUGUUCUAAUUAAUUCUGGCCGGAGACUCCACUUUACAGAGAAAGAAAAACUGAGUAAGAGACCUGAGGCUUGGAGAGGUUAAUGACUUCAUUCAUGAUCAUUUAGCUAGCAGCUGGCAGCAUGGAUUUGAAUCCAGUUUGGUCUAAGUGCUUUCUUAGGCAAACAUUAACUAUGGUAACUCUUAAGUCCUGGAUGUCCAGGCUGGGGCAUCCCCUCAGUUCAGCUGGCAGACCUCCCUGAAAUCUACCUGUGAUCAGCCCCAUGAUUACCCUCACCCUGUCUGUUCAGUCCCUGAAACCGAAAAGUUUGCAGGUUACUUUCUCCAGACAACAAAAUCUUUGUGGCCCUGCCUAUGGGUAGUUGAGAGACUUUCAAGCAGUCACCUUGGUUUUGACCCUAUGAUGCAUUCUUUUUAAAAUUUUUUUAAGAUUUGACAACACUGUGUGUAUUUAUCAUGUACAACACGAUGUUCUGAAGUAUAUGUACACAUUAUGGAAUGGUUAAAUCUCACUAAUUAACAAUUGCAUUACCGCAUGCAGUUAUUUUUUGUGGGGAAAGCACUUAACAUUCACUCUCUCUGCAUUUUUCAAGAACAUAAUAAAUCAUCAUUAACUACAGUCACCUUGCUGCACAAUAGAUCUUUUGAAUUAAUUCCUUCCAUCUAACUGUAAUUAUGUAUCCUUUGAACAACCUCUCCCUAUCUUCCCCACCCCUCAGUCUCUGGCAGCCACCAUUCUACUCUCUACGUCUAUGAGAACAACUUUUGAGAUUUCACAGGAGUGACAUCAUGCAGUAUUUAUCUUUUUGUUGUCUGGCUUAUUUCACUUAACAUAAUGUGCUCCAGGUUCAUCCAUGUUGUCACAUGUAACAGAAUUUCAUUAUUAUUAUUAUUAUUAUUAUUUUG